UUUGAAGCUCCUUUACAAUAAUUUUUUAUGCAGUUAUUAAAUUAUGUACAUCUAUAUAUAGAGGAAAAGUUUCAAUGAUUAAAAAACAAGAAGGAAACCAAGAGAGGAAAGGACCUCUGUCUCCCAUGGGGCAGGGGUGGGCCUGCUCAGCAGUAAUGGGAAGAGCUUAAGUCCAGCCAGUGAUGGAAUCUUCCCAGCACUUCAUUUGUUUAUUGCAAAAUCAAACUGAUUUUCAUAAAAUGUUUUGAUAAAUAUAUAAAUAUUUCUGAUUAAUGUUUUCCACCAUGCCUGUAGGAAAGAGGGAGGUAGGUACUGAAAUCCUAUCAGCUGUUUGAAGGGUUGUCUUUUCUCUGUGGGAACUUCCCUAGAGGGUAGUUUGGGGCACCUCCCCCCCUUCCGCCAAACCCAUACGCACACCUUUUGGACCUCAGCUACAAAAGAGGAAUUUCUGGGCAACUUUUUCCAUGCUAGCAGCUGGGACCGAGAAGGUCAUAGCCAGGGUAAGCUGUGAGAACUCUGGGAAAAACGGGAGUUCUCCUGACCCACAGGUGGGACAGAUUACUGCCCCCUCCUCAGGGGGCUCUCCAACCCAUUCUCCCCACAGCAGAUCUUCCAAAGUGCCAAUCUGAUCUUAUCCUGCCUCCUUAAAACCAUUUUAUUGUCAUUCAAAUUAAACCAAUUUCUUCUCAGGCCACGAGAUGCUGCUGGACCCGGCAUCCUGGCACUCCAAGGCAACCAUGCCCACCUAGGUGGCGGUGCGGGUUCCCUGGGGUGCCUAGUUCUCCCUCUCUCUCUUCAGUUUUUGGCCUUUCACACAUCAUUCCCUUCCUUUGCAUGAAAACCUCUCCCCCCGACGCCACUUCUACCCUUCCCCAGGCCUCAGCCUGGAUGUGGCUUCUUCCAGGAAGCUUUCCGGGCUUCCCAGAGCUGAUUAAGGGUCCAAGCAGCCUAGGUGGCCUGGAUUUUGGUGUAUUGCUCCUCAGUCGGGCUGUCAGAUUCGAGGGCAGAGGCCACAUCCCAGCAGCCUGCGGUCUCUGCCUUGAGUCGGGACAUUUCGGGGCCGGGAUUCCAUGGUCCUCCGCCAGCUCUGUCUACGCUGGCGUAAAGCUGGUUCCGGCAACAGAGGCCGCGGGCCGCUGACUGGGACUGGCUAUUUCUGUGGGUGCGGCUGGGUCUUUGGGAGGAGGAAGACGCCCCCAGGAGUGUGCCCCUCACAAACAUGGGCGAAGCCCUCCGGCCUGCCCCUCACAAGGAUGGCAUUCGGUGGCUCCUUAUUGGUGCCGAGGGCUCCUCGGGCGGCGCUGAUUGGCGGAGGGCGGAGGCGAGGCGAGGCGGGGCGGGGCUUCUCCGUCCCAGUCCUGGCCCUCUCCCCUGCGCUGUGACUAUGUCGCAGGCACGGCGCCACUUGCGCGCCGCUCUCUUCCUAGCGGCAGCUUCUCAGCGCGGUGCAACGACCGGGACCGCAACGCGGCGAGGGUUGGCCGCGUGGCCCGCGCCUCAGGAGCCCGGCAUGGAGUACCAGGAUGCUGUGCGGACACUCAACACCCUGCAGACCAAUGCCGGCUAUCUGGAGCAGGUGAAGCGCCAGCGAGGUGACCCCCAGACCCAGCUGGAAGCCAUGAAGCUGUACUUGGCACGGAGUGGGCUGCAGGUGGAGGACUUGGACAGGCUGAACAUCAUUCAUGUCACUGGGACCAAGGGGAAGGGCUCCACCUGUGCCUUCGCUGAGUGUAUCCUCCGAAGCUAUGGCCUGAAGACGGGAUUCUUUAGGUCUGACUGCAGGUCAGGAGAAGGCCAGGGGGUGGGCAGAGGAGAGAGUCCCGAUGACGCCGGGUCUCCUGGCAGCUCUCCCCACCUGGUGCAGGUGCGUGAGCGGAUCCGCAUCAACGGGCAACCCAUAAGCCCCGAGCUCUUCACCAAGCACUUCUGGCGUCUCUACCACCGGCUGGAGGAGACCAAGGAUGGCAGCAGCUGUGUCUCCAUGCCUGCCUAUUUCCGCUUCCUCACGCUCAUGGCCUUCCACGUCUUCCUCCAGGAGAAGGUGGACCUGGCAGUGAUGGAAGUGGGCAUUGGUGGAGCUUACGACUGCACCAAUAUCAUAAGGAAGCCUGUGGUGUGUGGGGUCUCCUCUCUUGGCAUCGACCACACAAGCCUUCUGGGGGACACAGUGGAGAAGAUCGCAUGGCAGAAAGGGGGCAUUUUCAAGCCUGGUGUCCCCGCCUUCACCGUGGUCCAGCCUGAUGGUUCCCUGGCAGUGCUGCGGGACCGUGCCCAGCAGAUCUCAUGUCCUCUCUACCUGUGCCCACCACUGGAAGCCCUGGAGGAAGGGGGGCCACCACUGAUCCUGGGCCUGGAGGGAGAACACCAGAGGUCUAACGCCGCCUUGGCCUCACAGCUGGCCCGCUGCUGGCUGCAGCAAAAGACUCACCAGGGCAUUGGGGAGCUGAAGGCAUCCAGGCCAAGCCUCCUGUGGCAGCUUCCCCUGGCACCUGUGUUCCAGCUCACGUCCCACAUGCAGCACGGGCUUCGGAACACAGAGUGGCUGGGCCGGACGCAGGUGCUGCGACGCGGACCCCUCACCUGGUACCUGGACGGCGCGCACACCGCCAGCAGCGUGCAGGCCUGCGUGCGUUGGUUCCGCCAGGCUCUCCGUCGGGAGAGGCGGGGCGGCCUGCCUGAGGUGCGUGUCUUGCUCUUCAACUCCACCGGGGACCGGGAUCCCGCGGCCCUGCUGAAGCUGCUGCAGGUGGGCGGGGCGGGGCUGCAGGCGGCUCAGCCAUGGUUCUGGCUGUGUGACCCCCAGCGGUGCCUUCAUCCCUGAGCCUGUUUCCUCAACUGCAGAAUGGGGCUGAUUCCCGGGUCCUCUGAACUGUGCUGAGGAUUCGGUGUGAAAGCAUCGGGCACAUGGGAAAGUCUAGUCACAGGUCACUGCCCGCACCUACCGUGAUCAGACUCAAGCCAGCGGGGGGAGACCAGGUACCCUGUCAGUUUGACUACGCCGUCUUCUGCCCAAACCUAACAGAGCUGUCAUCAGUCAGCAAUGCAGACCAGCAGAACUUCACAGUGACACUGGACCAGGUGCUACUCCGCUGCCUUGAACACCAUCAACACUGGAGCCUCCUGGAUGAGGAGCAGGCCAGCCCGAACCUCUGGAACACCCCCAACGGAGAGCCUGGUGACCCCGCCUCCCUGCUGCUGGCACCCCGUCCACUGCACACCUACAGCCCCAGCUCCCUUGUCUUCAGCUGCAUCUCCCACGCCUUGCAGUGGAUCAGCCAAGGCCGGGACCCUGUCUUUCAGUCACCUGGUCCCCCACAGGACGUCCUCGCCCACCCCGUGGCUGGCAGUGGGGGCAGUGGGGCCAGUGUGCUCCGCGAGGCUGCUGCCAUCCACGUGCUGGUCACAGGCAGCCUGCACCUGGUGGGCGGUGUCCUGAAGCUGCUGGAGCCCUCCCUGUCCCAGUAACCAAGGCAGUGGGGUUGGAGGUGGGGACCACCCACCCCCGCCCUACAGUGUCUUUCUAAGAACUGCUCUAUUUGGUGCCUUUUGUUUUUGGCUUUCCUGAUUCUGUCAAGACUGGCCUAGAGACCCGGGCUCUGGGCAUUGAAAUAGAGGGCUAGGGGUGGGAGGCUGAGAUUGGACAAGCUCAGUCUCUGAGCCUAGGGUGCCUUUGGCCUCUCCUUCCUCCCAGCUGAUACAGCCAGGGGGCUUCCCAGUUCUCCCACUAUUGUAUAAUGGGCCUGAGUUCCAGCCUGUCUCUCCUCCCACACUGCCUUACUUUGUGAGCUUACUGUGUGAGCUGCCUGGCAGGCCUAGGGUCCUGCUGGAUCUUGGUAGAUAGGUCCCCUCCUCCCACUGGCCUUCUGGGAAAGAGAUGGCCUUUGUCUGAGGCCCCUUGGGGACAGGGAGGCUGGGGCGAAUUAAAGCCUUUAACUUUUUAAAAAGAGAAAUGA